AGUGUCAGCAGCCGCGGUAAUACAGAGGGUGCAAGCGUUGCUCGGAAUUAUUGGGCGUAAAGGGCAGGUAGGUGGUCUCAUUUGUCUGGGGUGAAAGCCUUGGGCUUAACUCAAGAAGUGCCCCAGAAACGGUGAGACUGGAGUCCUGGAGAGGGUCGUGGAAUUCCCGGUGUAGCGGUGAAAUGCGUAGAGAUCGGGAGGAACACCAGAGGCGAAGGCGGCGACCUGGACAGGUACUGACACUCAACUGCGAAAGCGUGGGGAGCAAACAGGAUUAGAUACCCUGGUAGUCCACGCUGUAAACGAUGGGUACUAGAUUUGGUGGGUCUUGACCCCCGCCGAAUCGGCGCUAACGCACUAAGUACCCCGCCUGGGAAGUACGGUCGCAAGACUAAAACUCAAAGAAAUUGACGG
rnacentral:rRNA from 1 species